GUCCCUGUAGCGCAAUGGAUAGUGCUUUGGAUUUCAAAUCCAAAGGUUCAAAUCCUUUCUGGGAUG